rnacentral:ncRNA from 1 species
AAUUACAGUUUAUGGUGGGUGAAUAUAGGCUCCUUUAAGUAGUAAUACUUAUCGAAUAACCUUGUGAAAUGCUGGAAACCCCUUAGAGCCUUGAGUACCGAAGUGUAACAACCUUAAGGAUUGGGCAAUCAGCAGGGAAGCCUCUUAUUAGAGGAACCCUCAACGACUAUCGAAAGGGUAACGAACCGAGUAGAGUAGGGGCAAGUGUCCCGAAGUGCAAGGCACCUCAAGUAGGUGAAGAUAUAGUCUGGACUCAUGGGAAACCUUGAG